AGCAGCCGCGGUAAUUCCAGCUCCAAUAGCGUAUAUUAAAGUUGUUGCAGUUAAAAAGCUCGUAGUUGAAUUUCGGGAUCAAUACGUCGGUCGUGCUUUCGGGUACGUACUGGCGUCAUUGGUUUCUCCUUUCUGACGAACCAUGAUGUCAUUAAUUUGGUGUUAUGGGGAGUUAGGACUGUUACUUUGAAAAAAUUAGAGUGUUUAAAGCAGGCAUUAGCUUGAAUACAUUAGCAUGGAAUAAUGAAAUAGGACGUUCGAUCCUAUUUUGUUGGUUUCUAGGAUCAACGUAAUGAUUAAUAGGGAUAGUUGGGGGCAUUAGUAUUCAAUUGUCAGAGGUGAAAUUCUUGGAUUUAUUGAAGACUAACUACUGCGAAAGCAUUUGCCAAGGAUGUUUUCAUUAAUCAAGAACGAAAGUUAGGGGAUCGAAGACGAUCAGAUACCGUCGUAGUCUUAACCAUAAACUAUGCCGACUAGGGAUCGGAUGAUGUUAAUUUUUUUAAUGACUCAUUCGGCGCCU
rnacentral:rRNA from 1 species